ACAACCUCUUCUUCUUCGCAUCUCCUGGUCGACACCAACGAUUCCAGAAGAUGGUUUUUGUUUUCUGCUCUCGAAGAGAGACAGAGGUCCACCCCGACGUUUGUUCUGCCCCGGCGCGUUUUCUUGGACGAGACUCUGGGAAAGGGGGCCUACGCGAGAAUUUGCAGAACGGACGUGGCUUCGGUUCUCGCCAAGGUGUUCGUCCUCUCUCCGCACAAGCCGGAUGCUCACACGGUGCUG
rnacentral:ribozyme from 1 species